UGAGGUAAAUACGGUUGGAAUUU
rnacentral:miRNA from 1 species